AGCCCUAAGUGGGUGGUAAACUCCAUCUAAGGCUAAAUAUGACCACGAGACCGAUAGCGAACAAGUACCGUGAGGGAAAGUUGAAAAGCACUUUGAAGAGAGAGUUCAAGAGUACGUGAAACCGUUUAGGGGUAAACCUGAGAAACCCGAAAGGUCGAAGGGAGAAAUUCAUUCGCGUUUCGCCGUAGGCGUGAGACGGUCGAGUGACGGGGACGCGUUCGCGCGCGCUCCCCGCGCCUUCCGUUUUUCGAUCCGGCGGCGAACGCGUGCACUUUUCUCCUGGUAGGACGUCGCGAUCCGUUGAGUGUCGGUCUACGGCUCGCGGUGGAGCCCGGACGUACGGCUUGCCGUCUCACGUUCGGACCCGCGUGUCCCGGCCGACCCGCUCGACGGUAUACGAAAGGUUAAAGGCCGCUCUCGGAGCGUUCGGCUCGCGGCAAGCGCGUCAGAUGCGUCGGCGAUCGGACCCGGUGCCGAUUCUGACCUCUGGCGACUGUUGGCCGCGAAGUUCUCGAACAGACCUUAGACCGAUCUGCGACGCUAUUGUUUUGGGUACUUUCAG
rnacentral:rRNA from 1 species